CUUGAGUCUAAAGCAGAGCAACUAAGGAGUAACGGAGACUCAUCCUGUGGGCAUGCCCUCCGGAAUCUGGUCACUGCCCAGCAGUGGGGAAGGGGGCCGUCUGCACCAUCUCCUUGGGAGCCCUUGACCAUAACAGAGCACAAAAUUAUGAAUCUACAGGAAAAGGAGAAAGCCCUGAAGGGUUAUGCUGGCUCUAAAGGAAGGCUGCCAUCUUUAGAUACAGCUCCAAAAAUGAGAUUCAAACAGGCACCAGGAAAGGAUGUGUUAUUAACUCAUCCUCCCACAAAGAGAGUGGGAAAUCCAUCAGCCUGGCAUCCCUACAAGGCACCUGGCACCAAUUAGUCCUGCCCAGGAUAUAUACCCAGGAGUGGAACUGCUGGAUCAGAUGAUAAUUCUAUUUUUAAGCUUUUGAGAAACCACCAUACUGUUUUCCACAGUGGCUGCACCAAUUUACAUUUCCACCAACAGUGUUACGAGGGUUCUGUUUUCUCCACAUCUUUGCCAACUUUUAUUAUUUAUGGUCUUUUUUUUAACAUCUUUAUUGGAGUUUAAUUGCUUUACAAUGGUGUGUUAGUUUCUGCUUUAUAACAAAGUGAAUCAGUUAUACAUAUACAUAUGUUCCCAUAUCUCUUCCCUCUUGCGUCUCCCUCCCUCCCACCCUCCCUAUCCCACCCCUCUAGGUGGACACAAAGCACUGAGCUGAUCUCCCUGUGCUAUUCGGCUGCUUCCCACUAGCUAUCUAUUUAACAUUUGGUAGUGUAUAUAUGUCCAUGCUACUCUCUCACUUCGUCCCAGCUUACCCUUCCCCCUCCCUGUGUCCUCAAGAACCUAGGGGCAGGACAGGAAUAAAGACACAGAUGAAAAGUAUUUAUAGUCUUUUUGAUGAUAGCUAUUCUGACAGGUAUGAGGUGAUAUCUCAUUGUGGUUUAAAUUUGCUCUUCUCUGAUGAUUAACAAUGUUAGGCACCUUUUCAUGGGUCUGUUAUCCAUCUGUGUAUCUUCUGUGGAAAAAUGUCUUUUCAGGUCUUCUGCCCAUUAUUUAAUCUGGUUGUUUGUUUUAUGUUUUAAUUUUGAGUUGUAUUAGCUGUUUAUAUACUUUGGAUAUUAACUUCUUAUCAGUUGUAUCAUUAGCAAAUAUUUUCUCCCAUUCAGUAGGUUGUCUUUUCAUUUUGUCAAUGGUUUCCUUUGCUGUGCAAAAGCUUUUAAGUCUAUUAGACCCCAUUUGUUUAUUUUUGCUUUUAUUUCCUUUGCUUUAGGAGACUGAUCCAAAAAAAUAUUGCUAUGAUUUAUGUCAAAGAACAUUCUACCUAUGUUUUAUUCUAGGAGUUUUAUGGUUUCUGGUCUUAUAUUUAGGUCUUUAAUCCAUUUUGAGUUUGUUUUUGUAUAUGGUGUGAGAAAACGUUCUAAUUUCAUUUUUUUACAUGUAGCUGUCCAGUUUCCCCAGCACCACUUAUUGAGAAGACUGUCUUUUUCUCCAUUGUAUACUCUUGCCUCCUUUGUUGUAGAUUAAUUGACCAUAAGUGUGUGGGUUUAUUUCUGGGCCCUCUAUUCUGUUCCAUUGACCUAUGUGUCUGUUUUUGUGCCAGUACCAUGCUGUUUUGGUUACUGUAGCUUUGUAGUAUAGUCUGAAGUCAAGGAAUGUAAUUCCUCUAGCUCUGUUCUUCUUUUUCAAGAUUAUUUUGCCUAUUUGGGUUCUUUUGUGUUUCCAUACAAAUUUUAAAAUUAUUUGCCCUUGUUCUGUGAAAAAUGUCCUUGGUAUUUUGAUAAGGGUGAUGUUCUUUAAUUUGUAUUUUAAAAAUGAAUAGUUAUGUGUAACAUCUUUUCAUGUGAAUAUUUGCCUUUCAGAUCACUUCUUUGAUAAAGUGUCUGUUUAAAUCUUUUGCCCAUUUUAAAAAAUUGGAUUGUUUUCUUUUUCAGA